UUGGCCGUGAACUGCCAGUAGUCUUGCGUCUCCAGCAGCGCCCGGUAGCUGUAGUGGUCCCCAUCGGCCAGCGUCUCGAUCACCGUCUGAUCGCCGUACUUGCCGAUACCGAUCUUGUUCACCUUGCCGUGGGCAAUCAGAUAGAUCGCGUCGGCUUCCUUGCCGGCCUCGGUGAUGACCUCACCGGCCUUGAACUCCUUCUGAACGAAGCGGGCCGCCAGGCCGGCCAGCGCCUCAUCGUCCUCGAAGCCACGGAACAGCGGCAGCUCCCGGAGCUCCUGCGGAAUGACUUGCACCUUGGCGCCGGUGCUGAUGAAGGACACCCGGCCAUCGCCCACGUCAUAGCUCAGGCGGCGGUUGAGCCGGAAGGUACCGCCGGGCACCACCACCCACGGCAGCAGCUUCAGCAGCCACCGGGAGGAGAUUCCCUGCAUCUGCGGGGCGGACUUGGUCGUCGUCGCCAGCUGGCGCGCCGCGUCCGUCCCAAGACUCAUCUGCUGCUUCU
rnacentral:antisense_RNA from 1 species